GAUUGUGGCUCAAUGGUAGAGCACUUGCCUAGCAUGCAUGAGGCACGGGGUUCAAUUACCAGCACCA
rnacentral:tRNA from 1 species